rnacentral:rRNA from 1 species
ACACACCGCCCGUCAUACCAUGGAAGUGGAUUGCACCAGAAGUAGAUAGUCUAACCUUCGGGAGGGCGUNUACCACGGUGUGCUUCAUGACUGGGGUAAAGUCGUAACAAGGUAGCCGUAGGGGAACCUGUGGCUGGAUCACCUCCUU